rnacentral:misc_RNA from 1 species
GCAGGGCAGAGGGUUUUAGAGACCGAAAAGGAAAAAGAAAAGGAAAAAAUCUAAACAAUGGAUCCUUCGGCUCUCAAUUCCGCUGAAAUGCAGCGAUUACUCAAUCAAGAAAAGGAGAAGGCCAUGGUUAAUGAGAUGCUGGCAAAGCUUACUAGUGAAUGCUGGGACAAAUGCAUCAGUAGUGCACCCGGGAGCAAGUUCAGCUCAAGUGAAUCAGCUUGCCUUUCUAAUUGUGCCCAGCGAUAUAUGGAUAUGAGCCUCAUCAUAAUGAAACGCUUUCAGUCCAUGCAUUGAAAGUUUAGGUAUCAUUGUUUUAGUAUGUCGGUUACAAGAUGUUACUGCUUGUUAGCCUCUAUAGUUGUUAAUUCUAUCAUUACAAGAUGCUAUGAAUUUUUUUGAACCUAAACCACUUUAUAUUUAAUGCUGCAUGAUUUGCAUCAUUCGGCAUUCCAAUUGUGUAUUUUUUUUUAAUGAUCUCAGACAUUAACAAUUGAUUGGUUGUCUAUGACAAAGCAGAUAAAUUUAAUAACUGCUAGUAUGCCAAUGUUUAUAUGCUU